rnacentral:rRNA from 1 species
UACGGGGGGGGCAAGCGUUGUUCGGAAUCACUGGGCGUAAAGGGCGUGUAGGCGGGAAGGUAAGUCGGGCGUGAAAUCCCUGGGCUCAACCCAGGAACUGCACUCGAAACUACUUUUCUUGAGUGCCGGAGAGGAAAGCGGAAUUCCUGGUGUAGAGGUGAAAUUCGUAGAUAUCGAGAGGAACACCUGAGGUGAAGGCGGCUUCCUGGACCGACACUGACGCUGAGGCGCGAAAGCUAGGGGAGCAAACGGG